GAGGGUAUAGCUCAGUGGUAGAGUGCGUGCUUAGCAUGCAUGAGGUCCUGGGUUCAAUCCCCAGUACAUCCA
rnacentral:tRNA from 1 species